rnacentral:rRNA from 1 species
GACGAACGCUGGCGGCGUGCUUAACCCAUGCAAGUCGAACGGAAAGGCCCUGCUUUUGUGGGGUGCUCGAGUGGCGAACGGGUGAGUAACACGUGAGUAACCUGCCCUUGACUUUGGGAUAACUUCAGGAAACUGGGGCUAAUACCGGAUAGGAGCUCCUGCGGCAUGGUGGGGGUUGGAAAGUUUCGGCGGUUGGGGAUGGACUCGCGGCUUAUCAGCUUGUUGGGGGGGUAGUGGCUUACCAAGGCUUUGACGGGUAGCCGGCCUGAGAGGGUGACCGGCCACAUUGGGACUGAGAUACGGCCCAGACUCCUACGGGAGGCAGCAGUGGGGAAUAUUGCACAAUGGGCGGAAGCCUGAUGCAGCAACGCCGCGUGCGGGAUGACGGCCUUCGGGUUGUAAACCGCUUUCGCCUGUGACGAAGCGUGAGUGACGGUAAUGGGUAAAGAAGCACCGGCUAACUACGUG